GUGGCCUUAAGAUAUAUUAAUCUGUAUGUCUUUUAAACAUGUAAAGCUUUUUGCAGGUCGUU
rnacentral:tRNA from 1 species